UCUCUAAUGGCCUCCGCAACAGUCACUCUUGUGUUAGCAAUACUGUCUCUAAGCUUGCCAUCUCAAAUCUCAGCUGAUACCUACUUGUACUCAUCACCUCCUCCUCCCAAGAAGCCCUAUUAUUAUCACUCUCCUCCACCACCUUCACCUCCUCCACCUAAGCCAUACUACUAUCAUUCACCACCACCACCUUCACCUCCUCCACCCAAGCCAUACUACUAUCACUCACCACCACCACCUUCACCUCCUCCACCUAAACCAUACUACUAUCACUCACCACCACCACCUUCACCUCCUCCACCUAAACCAUACUACUAUCACUCACCACCACCACCUUCACCUCCUCCACCUAAACCAUACUACUAUCACUCACCACCACCACCUUCACCUCCUCCACCUAAGUCAUAUUACUAUCACUCACCACCACCACCACCCAAAAAGAAGCCAUACUACUACCAUUCUCCCCCACCACCUUCACCACCUCCUCCUAAGCCAUACUACUAUCACUCUCCCCCACCGCCUUCACCUCCUCCACCUACGCCAUACUACUAUCAUUCUCCCCCACCACCCUCACCACCUCCACCUAAGCCAUACUACUACCAUUCACCACCACCCCCACCGAAGAAGAAGCCUUACUACUACCACUCUCCACCACCACCUUCACCUCCUCCUCCAAAGAAGCCAUACUACUACCACUCCCCACCUCCUCCCAAGAAGCCCUACAAAUAUUCAUCUCCCCCACCUCCAGUGCACCCUUACCCUCAUCCUCACCCCCAUCCCCAUCCACACCCCCACCCUCACCCUCCCUACGUUUACAAAUCUCCUCCCCCACCCCCUAAGAAGCCAUACAAGUACCCAUCCCCACCACCUCCAGUCCACGUUUACCCUCACCCUCACCCGCAUCCACACCCUCACCCUCAACCUCACCCCCAUCCACAACCCCACCCUCCCUACAUUUAUCAGUCUCCUCCACCACCCCCUAAGAAGCCUUACAAGUACCCAUCGCCUCCACCUCCCGUCCACCCAUACCCCCAUCCCCACCCUCUUCCUCAUCCCCACCCUCACCCUCUUCCACAUCCCCACCCUCUUCCCCAUCCUCACCCUCUUCCUCAUCCCCACCCUCUUCCCCAUCCUCACCCCCUCCCUCCUUACACUCCUCAUCCAAUCUAUCACUCUCCAUCACCACCACCACCUUACAAGAAGCCUUACAAGUACAAGUCCCCUCCACCACCUCCACACUACAUCUACGCAUCACCUCCACCUCCUUACCACUCUUAGACAGUGGUCAACUAGCAUAGUUCUAUGGUAACCUUCUUCAUACCUACGUACAUGCUACAUUAUUAUAAUUUCUCAUUAAUGGUUCCGCAUUUUUUUACAUCUAUACUUGUUCCCAAAAAAUGAAUACCAAACCCUCGUGAUCCCUGUCAAGGUUUUUAACUUGAUACGGAAAAUGAUUUUUCUGGUUUGGUUUUAUAGGGACCACGUACCCCUCACUGAAAUUGACAGACACUAUAAUAAUAUGUGCAUGUGUUCUAAUGUUUUGUA
rnacentral:lncRNA from 1 species